AAAUGGACACAAACAUUGUUUCUCGUGAUGCUCCUUCCAUUACAACUACAGAUCGUUCCUAUUUCAUAUACAGUCAGACUCUCAUGGUGGACAUCUCAGAUGAUGAUAAGGAGAAACAAAUGCCUAAGAAAUUGCAAGCACUACCUAGGAGGUUUGAACGGGUAUAGCUAUAGCAAGAUUUACCACACAGGCGAAUACAUUUAAGAUGUGGCUUCUCUACCAAUCUGCACGAUAAAGGGCAAUGGGCACGUUGAUAGGUAAAAUUCAGACUUCAAGAUUUUUUUCUUAUCAGACCUCCUGUUUUAAACAAUGACAAUACUAUUUUGUUUAAUUCUAUUAGACAUUUAUCGAUAGAUGCUACAAUAUUUAUCUUAACUUAUAUUAUUUGUAAAACAAAAAAAAUUCAAAAUAGGAUAUGACUUCAACAUAUUUCAAUUUAAAUUAAUUUUUUAUUAUAAAAUGGAACCUAAACCUCGCUUCUAGCCAUUCAUUGAUGAUCAAUCAAUGGAUAUGAUGGAAAAAAUAGUAGAUUUUAAAGGUAAUUUUGUUUGAAGGCAUAAUCUAAUCCUUGAUAAAUUAGGGUUUAGGGAUUACUAAUAACAAAAUUUAAAAUUUUUUGAAAAAUGUCGCUGCAUUCAAUUAAGAUGCAGCGAUCAUAAUUUUUUUUUAAAAUAUUACUCUGUUGCAUGCUAUAUGACAUGCGACAAAUCCUUUUUAAAAAAAAAAGAUUUCCCUUUUUAAUUUUAGCAGCAGGGAAAAAAUUAGAAAUUAAAUGAAUAUUUCAUGACCGCUGCAUUUGGCCCUAAGUUUAGCACAAAAUCUCUAGGAACACCACUUUUAGGAUUUUUUUUGAAUUUAGUAAUAUUUUAUGAAAUUUGCCCUCAAAGUCCAUGUCCUAUUGCAUUUCAUCAAAACAUGUUCAUAUACUUUCUAUCCAACUUUUAAGCCAUAUUAUGGACUAACCGAUUUCUUAUUCUUCUUCAUUCUAAUUAUUUGUUUGGUCUUCUUUUCCGACUGUGGGAUGCAGUGCUAAAACAUAAAUAUUUUAUCAAGUAUGACAAAAAUAAAAAAAGACUAGCAAGAAAGCAUAAAACUGCAAGUUAAAAGCAUAAAUUUACUUACUAGUUUGAAAUUAAUCCAUUGGCCACCUAACCAAUCGUGAUGUAGUCUCAAUUGGUCCAAGGGACAAAAUAGUUUGAUUGAUAUUUCCCAUUUAUGAUGCAUAUCCAUCACCCAUCACUCAGAAAUAUAAGUCACCCAGGUCAUACAAGUUUUUUGAAUUACCCAAGUCAUACAAGUUGAAACAACUUAUCGAAACAUGUGAAAGCAAAGGUCAGAGCUAAUCAACACUGACAACCUCUUUUGAUGGUUCAGAUUCAUCUUCUAGUAGGUCAACAUAUUGAGUUUUUUUAUUUCUUUUGUGGUUAGGGUGCAAAAUUAGGGUUAGGGAAAGGAAAAAUUGGGGAAAAUGGAGGAUCAUGCCACAUGGUCCUUUACUUACUUUUGUGGUCAAUGAUGGUUGACAAAUACACCUGAUUAACCCAUUCUAUAUUAGGUUAAAAAUUUAUGUGGGUUGACAAAUUUACCCUUUAAAAGUUGAUCACGUGAUGCUUUCGUGAUUUAUUCCAACCAAAAUAUGGCUAAAAAGGUGAUGAAGGAUAAAAAUUAGCAUUUUUACUUAUGAGGGACUAAAAUGAAUCAUUUUCAUUUUGAAUGGCUAAAAUUUCAUAUCAACUACAUAUGGGGGACUAUUACUGUAAUUUUCCUAUAUAGGAAAGACUCAUUGGUUGGGAACCCACCAGACACUACCUUCAUAAAGCUAAACGCUAGUGGCUUCUCGAAAAGUAAACCUAGAACAGCAAGUGCUGGUGGUGUGUUUCGUGAUCAUAUGGGUACUUGGAUACUUACUUUGGUAAUUUGGUUACAGUAGGUGCAUGGGGAGCACGACCAACAGCGUGGCUGAGGCUUGGACGAUUAGAGAGGGACUUCACGUUGCAAUUCAACAAAAAAUUUUCACCCAUAUUAUUGUUGAAUCUGACUCUAAAGUCAUUAUUGAUAUAAUUAAUAGGGAUGAUGUUGACAAUCACUUACUUUCUCCCCCAUUUUAUCAGAUCGCAGAGAACUUGUCCAACAGAUUUUACGAGUUUUUUUUUAAAGAGUUUGAAUGGAUUCGGUUCCAAUCACUAUUACGAAUUAGGGGAUGACUCUAGGAUCAUAAGUGAUUCUACGAGUCAAGUUUAAGCAUAUCCUCAAAGAAUCAAAUAUAUGCGCGAUCGAUCAGUUGGCUAAACUGGGAACUCAGCAAGAAAAGGAUUUUGUAUCGCAACUACUCCCUCCUCCUCUCGUAAGCAGUAUCUUAUAUAUAUAUUUAUGACAUUAGAGGAGAUAAGUUUCUUAGGAUGGUUGUAGAAGAUCUAUGUUAAUUUAAUUUAAAGUCCUUUUUCUACCGCAAAAAAAAAAAAAAGCUUUUUAAUAGGAAGAUAUAUCACUUGGAAAGUAUAAAAGGCUACAUAACAUGCAUUAAGUAGAACUGCUUAUAACUAAACAUACUAGUGAGAUUUUGAAAAUUUCUUGA
rnacentral:lncRNA from 1 species